rnacentral:tRNA from 1 species
CGGCGGCUGGCGCGGGUGGGCCCCGGCGCCUGCUGGAGCCAGGUGCUGGCCGCGGCCGCCCCGUUCGGCCUGGCGCCGCUGUCC